ACGAACGCUGGCGGCGUGCCUAAUACAUGCAAGUCGAACGGUCUUUCUAUGGAAGCUUGCUUCCACUGAGAAGAUAGUGGCGAACGGGUGAGUAACACGUGGGUAACCUGCCCAUAAGAGGGGGAUAACAUCCGGAAACGGGUGCUAAUACCGCAUAGUUUUCUUGAUCGCAUGAUUGAGAAAGGAAAGACGGCCUUUGUGCUGUCGCUUAUGGAUGGACCCGCGGCGUAUUAGUUAGUUGGUGAGGUAACGGCUCACCAAGACGAUGAUACGUAGCCGACCUGAGAGGGUGAUCGGCCACAUUGGGACUGAGACACGGCCCAAACUCCUACGGGAGGCAGCAGUAGGGAAUCUUCCGCAAUGGACGAAAGUCUGACGGAGCAACGCCGCGUGAGUGAAGAAAAGGUUUUCGGAUCGUAAAACUCUGUUGUCAGAGAAGAACAAGUUGGAGAGUAACUGCUCCAGCCUUGACGGUAUCUGACCAGAAAGCCACGGCUAACUACGUGCCAGCAGCCGC
rnacentral:rRNA from 1 species